GAUACAGUCUACUACUACUACUGGUCUAUGUACAUUUUUAACUCGCGAUUUUAUUGCAAAUAAUUUAAUCUUUAAUAAACUAUUGUGCUUUUAAAAUAACUUUUAAAGUCAGUGUAUACCCCAGAUCGGGGUUCAAGUACCUGACUACCUCCAGUGCACCUACCGUAGUGCACCUACCCUAAGUGCACCUACCUACGCGCCUGUCUACCUACGUGCCUGUGUCUACCUACGUGCCUGUGUCUACCUACGUGCCGCGCCUAUCUACGUGUCCUGCAUCUACCUGCGCGUCCGGCAUCUACUAGCGCGCUGCACACCUACCCCGCCUGACCGCUGCCGAGCUGCCUGACUAUACAGGGUAGUAGUGUUCUAUAGCGGGCCAGAACUUAACGCGAGCUCGAUUAUUCUAAACCCACUCCCGGCUCUGCCGAUCUUUUUGUAGAAUAUACUUAUAUACUAAUUUACUAAAUUCCUUUUUAUUUUUCUACCUAUUAGACUACCUACCACUAAACCAAAACGUUACAGUGGCGCCCAAUAAAGGUAGAAUAUAUCGAGCCGUGUUUAGUUCUUGUUUGCUAAGCAUUUUGUAGUUGUCCUGGUGUUGGUUGUCUGUCAGUUGUGUUGAAUUUAAUCACAGCCUACCAAAUGUGAAUCUACCCACAUCUU